rnacentral:rRNA from 1 species
GACGAACGCUGGCGGCGUGCUUAACACAUGCAAGUCGAACGGAAAGGCCCUGCUUUUGUGGGGUGCUCGAGUGGCGAACGGGUGAGUAACACGUGUGUAAACUGCACUUGACUUUGGGGUAACUUCAGGAAACUCGGGCUAAUACAGGAUAGGAGCUACUGCUGCAUGGGGGGGGUUGGAAAGUUUCGGCGGUUGGGGAUGGACUCGCGGCUUAUCAGCUUGUUGGUGGGGUAGUGGCUGACCAAGGCUUUGACGGGUAGCCGGCCUGAGAGGGUGACCGGCCACAAUGGGACUGAGAUACGGCGCAGACUCCUACGGGACGCAGCAGUGGGGAAUAUUGCGCAAUGGGCGGAAGCCUGAGGCAGCAACGCCGCGUGCGGGAUGACGGCCUACGGGUGGUAAACCGCUGUCGCAUGUGACGAAGCGUGAGUGACGGUAAUGGGUAAAGAAGCACCGGCUAACUACGUG